UUGAUCCUGGCUCAGAAUCAACGCUGGCGGCGCGCUUAACACAUGCAAGUCGAACGAGAAAGUGGAGCAAUCCAUGAGUACAGUGGCGUACGGGUGAGUUACACGUGGGUGAUCUACCUCUUAGUGAGGAAUAACCCUGGGAAGCCGGGUCUAAUACCGCAUGAGCCUGAGAAGGGAAAGUCGCAAGACGCUGAGAGAGUAGCCCGCGGCCGAUUAGCUAGUUGGUGGGGUAAGAGCCUACCAAGGCAUUGAUCGGUAGCCGGCCUGAGAGGGCACACGGCCACACUGGCACUGAAACAUGGGCCAGACUCCUACGGGAGGCAGCAGUGGGGAAUCUUGCACAAUGGGGUAAACCCUGAUGCAGCGACGCCGCGUGAGCGAUGAAGCCCCUCGGGGUGUUAAGCUCUUUCGGCAGGGAAGAUUAUGACGGUACCUGCAGAAGCAGCUGCUGCUAACUACGUGCCAGCAGCCGCGGUAAUU
rnacentral:rRNA from 1 species